UUUUUCUGGAAAAACGAAAUUCCUUGUCGGGUAAGUUCCGACCUGCACGAAUGGCGUAACGACUUCUCAACUGUCUCAACCAUAGACUCGGCGAAAUUGCACUACGAGUAAAGAUGCUCGUUACGCGCGGCAGGACGAAAAGACCCCGGGACCUUCACUAUAGCUUGGUAUUGGCGUUUGGUUCGGUUUGUGUAGGAUAGGUGGGAGACUGUGAAGCAGGCACGCCAGUGUUUGUGGAGUCAUCGUUGAAAUACCACUCUGAUCGUAUUGAACCUCUAACCUCGGACCGUAUAUCCGGUCCAGGGACAGUGCCUGGUGGGUAGUUUAACUGGGGCGGUUGCCUCCCAAAAUGUAACGGAGGCGCCCAAAGGUUCCCUCAACCUGGACGGCAAUCAGGUGUUGAGUGCAAGUGCACAAGGGAGCUUGACUGCGAGACCUACAAGUCAAGCAGGGACGAAAGUCGGGACUAGUGAUCCGGCACCUCUGAGUGGAAGGGGUGUCGCUCAACGGAUAAAAGGUACCCCGGGGAUAACAGGCUGAUCUUCCCCAAGAGUCCAUAUCGACGGGAUGGUUUGGCACCUCGAUGUCGGCUCGUCGCAUCCUGGGGCUGGAGCAGGUCCCAAGGGUUGGGCUGUUCGCCCAUUAAAGCGGCACGCGAGCUGGGUUUAGAACGUCGUGAGACAGUUCGGUCUCUAUCCGCCGCGCGCGUCAGAAACUUGAGGAAACCUGUCCCUAGUACGAGAGGACCGGGACGGACGAACCUCUGGUGUACCAGUUGUUCCACCAGGAGCACGGCUGGAUAGCUACGUCGAUCAUCCGA
rnacentral:rRNA from 1 species